rnacentral:ncRNA from 1 species
GGAUAGAGGUCGCAUUUUUCAUGAGUAUGAUGACGGAUGUAUCAGGGACAUAGGAAAUCAUCAAAAAGGGGAAGAUGCCGAAGGGAUAAGACACCUGAAAUCUUGUUCCUGGGCAUGACGCAAACAGCGGCAUGACUGUCAUCGCAGGAUGGAGAGCUAUCUGA